GAUAAACGCUGGCGGUGUACAUAAGACAUGCAAGUCGAACGGGAGAAACUAAGAUGGAUUUAUUCAACUUAGCAGACACCGUGGCGGAUGGGUGAGUAACACGUAAGCAACCUGCCUAAAAGAGGGGAAUAACAGAGAGAAAUUUCUGAUAAUACCGCAUAUACCAAAGUAUCGCAUGGUACAAUUGGGAAAGAUUUAUCACUUUUAGAUGGGCUUGCGUCUGAUUAGCUAGUUGGUGAGAUAACAGCUCACCAAGGCGACGAUCAGUAGCCGGAUUGAGAGGUUGAACGGCCACAUUGGGACUGAGACACGGCCCAGACUCCUACGGGAGGCAGCAGUCGGGAAUAUUGCACAAUGGAGGAAACUCUGAUGCAGUGACACCGCGUAUAGGAAGAAGGCCUUAGGGUUGUAAGCUAUUGUCGUGUGAGAAGAAAAUGACUAUCACAGGAGGAAGCCCUGGCUAAAUAUGUGCCAGCAGCCGCGGUAAUACAUAUGGGGCGAGCGUUAUCCGGAUUUAUUGGGUGUAAAGGGUUCGUAGGCGGGAAAGUAAGUCAGUAUGUGAAAUCCCUCGGCUCAACCGAGGAACUGCAAUUGAAACUAUUUUUCUUGAGUACUGGAGGGGAAAGUGGAAUUCUUAGUGUAGCGGUGAAAUGCGUAGAUAUUAGGAAGAACACCAGUGGCGAAGGCGACUUUCUGGACAGUAACUGACGCUGAGGAACGAAAGUGUGGGGAGCAAACAGGAUUAGAUACCCUGGUAGUCCACACUGUAAACGAUGGAUACUAGGGGUUGGCAUAGGAAAUGUCGGUCCCGCAGUUAACGCAUUAAGUAUCCCACCUGGGGAGUACGACCGCAAGGUUAAAACUCAAAGGAAUUGACGGGGGCCCGCACAAGCAGUGGGGUAUGUGGUUUAAUUCGACGCAACGCGAAGAACCUUACCAGGGCUUGACAUGAUUAGGAAUAUAUAAGAGAUUAUAUAGCUCUACGGAGUCUAAUUACAGGUGGUGCAUGGUUGUCGUCAGCUCGUGUCGUGAGAUGUUGGGUUAAGUCCCUAAACGAGCGCAACCCUUAUCGCUAGUUGCUAACAUUAAGUUGAGGACUCUAGUGAGACUGCCGUUUAUUAAAACGGAGGAAGGAGAGGAUGACGUCAAAUCAUCAUGCCCUUUAUGUCCUGGGCUACACACGUACUACAAUGGGUAGGACAAAGGGAAGCAACGGAGUGAUCCUGAGCAAAACCCAAAACCUAUUCACAGUUCGGAUUGAAGGCUGAAAUUCGCCUUCAUGAAGCCGGAAUUGCUAGUAAUGGCAGGUCAGCAUACUGCCGUGAAUACGUUCCCGGGCCU
rnacentral:rRNA from 1 species